UACGUAGGGGGCAAGCGUUGUCCGGAUUUAUUGGGCGUAAAGAGCGUGUAGGCGGCCAGGUAGGUCUGCUGUGAAAACUCGAGGCUUAACCUCGAAGCUGUCGGCGGAAACCAUCUGGCUAGAGUCCGGAAGAGGAGAAUGGAAUUCCCGGUGUAGCGGUGAAAUGCGCAGAUAUCGGGAAGAACACCCGUGGCGAAGGCGGUUCUCUGGGACGGUACUGACGCUGGAGACGCGAAAGCGUGGGGAGCGAACAGG
rnacentral:rRNA from 1 species